CUCAAUGUUGACGGGUCGUUCGUUCAUACCGAUGGUGGAUUAGCAGGAGCCGGUAUGAUCUUACGUGAUAAUGACGGCAACAUUAUCUUCUCUGCUUGUCGUUCUAUCUUGCAUUGUUCCGGACCGCUCCAGGCUGAGCUGUUGGCAUGUCAGGAGGGAUUAAGCCUUGCUCUACAAUGGUCUACUCGCCCGAUAAACAUCGAGAUGGACUGCAUGGAUGCGAUCAAGUUGAUCAAGUCGCCUACCCUUGACAGAUCGCCACAUAGAAUGAUAGUUCAGGAUAUUAAGAGGCUCUUUGGUGAAAGGGAUAUCUCUAUUGCUCAUGUAAGUAGGAAUCAGAACGUUGUUAGCCAC
rnacentral:rRNA from 1 species